UUUUGGCUAUAGCUUUACUCCAUCUUCUCCUGCAGUCAAGCAGCCUCAAGCGGUGGUGAGCCACAAGCCCAGUAUGGCCCUACUUACCAAUGAUGUUGCUGAGCACAGGGGUGAUGUGCACCCCGUUUCCACCCACUCGGGCAUCCCACCUUCUUCGAAACAGCCAUCUGCAGAAAUAAUGGAGGCUGAAGAAGAAAAAAACGGCCCUAACUCGCAUGCU